UACGAAGGGGGCUAGCGUUGCUCGGAAUCACUGGGCGUAAAGCGCACGUAGGCGGCUUUUUAAGUCAGGGGUGAAAUCCUGGAGCUCAACUCCAGAACUGCCUUUGAUACUGAGAAGCUUGAGUCCGGGAGAGGUGAGUGGAACUGCGAGUGUAGAGGUGAAAUGCGUAGAGAUCGGGAGGAACACCAGUAGCGAAGGCGGCCGGCUGGGCCGACCCUGACGCUGAGGCGCGAAGGCGUGGGGAGCGAACGGG
rnacentral:rRNA from 1 species